rnacentral:tRNA from 1 species
GUGAUCUGGGGCAAGUAAAUUCCCUUUCCUGAGCUUCUGUAAAUGCAAAUUUUGUCCCUUUCUUUCAUCAGCUAGUCCAGUAAGGCAGUAUUUGUUGAGCAAUGACCAUGUUCAGUCAUGGUGCCAGACACUGGAGAUUCACUGGUGAAGCCGACAGAUUCCUUUCCUGGACUCAUGGGGCCCAGAGUACUGAAAACAGACAUUGCAAAUAUUUACAUGGCAAACAAUUCAGUUAUAGUCUUGUGAGACUGUUACAAGUUGGAAGAAAAAAACGGGGAACAAUGAGUUUCAUUAACAGGUAGACGCCAUGAAGCCUGGGUCCUGGUUGUGAGGUGUCCUUCUGGUGGAUUGAUGAGCAGUAGUUAGCUCGGGUGGUGGUGGUGGUGGUGGAGGCAUCCUUGACCAGAAGGAUCUUGAGCUGUUCUCAGAACUGAGAGCAAUUAGGCGAGGGCUGGGGCCUUGCCACACAGGAUCUUGAGCGCCAGGUAAGUAUUCUGGAUUUAUCUUUAAAGCAAUUGGAAGAUUUUAAGCAGCAGAGAGUAUGAAUAGAUUUCUAUUAUCAAAAGAUUACCACCAUAUAGAAAAUGUAACGCAGGAGGGCUGUAUUGAUAAUUAACUCUAUUAAUAGUAAAAUUCCAACAUUAAUCUCUCUCCUGGAUGAUGUGUUGAUCAGUAUUUUAAGUCAUUUAUGUGGUUUUCUCCUAUAAACCUUACACGAACUUAUAACAACAUAUAUUUAUAGUUGAGUGGAAUGAAAAAGGAAGGCGUCUUGGUCUGGCAGGUUGGAAAGGACAUGGCUCCGUUCACGCUGGCUAAGGGGGCAGUCUGAGGAGGUGCAGAAUUGUUCAGUAGCUCUGUGUAUGUGUGUGUUUGGGGGAGACAUGUUUAUGUGUGAUGAGUUUGGCUCGGGAGGGAGAGCGGCGUUUGCUGGGGCUGAUCAUUCACAGCCUGGAAUAUCAGAUGAUGCACCUUGACUUUGUUUCGAAGGUGGAAACUGUUGGAAGGGUUUUGAGCAGGGCAGGUUCAGAUCCGAUGCGGUUAUAGGAACCGCAUCCAGGCCUGGUCUGGAUAUAGUUCCUCUUACUAUAGGUGGUGAGAGGAAUGAGCUGGAGUAAGGAGUGGAGCCUGGAUUGGAGGACCAGGAAGGAGGCUGAUGUGAUGAAACAGACAAGAUGUCCUGAGCCUUGCGAUGGAUCAGGGACAUUGUUAAGAAGGGCUCAAGGAGCACAGUGUGUGGAUUUGGUGGUUGGAUGUGAAGUGCCGGAGACUGGGGAACUGAAAGCGCUCCCACUCUCUGCCUUGGUUGCCUGGAGGAGCAAAUGGGGUGGUCAUAAAUGGGGUGACCCCAGGAGAGAGGGAGACAUGGGGAGAUGCUUGGAAGACAGAUCACGUUCUUUAGAGUGAAGCACAGCCCUGCCUCCUGACCUGGGACUGGAUUUUCUUUUCCCCAAACACUUCCCUUCACUGACCUCCUUGUGCCUAUAAUUCAGCACCAUCUUUUUUCAUCUCCCUUCUUCAAAACCUCUGAGUCAGUUCUGCCUCCUCAGUGCCCCUUCCUCCCCUGGGCAGAACUCUUCAUCUCAUUCUGUGAAUUCUUUCUCCAGGCGUGGGGUAAGAGCAUAGGUUGGAAGCAAAGAUUUUUUAAAACGAACAACACCCAGGAUCUGUGAGGCCAUUUAUAUCAUUGCUCUGCCAGCAAAAGGAGAAUGAUAUCAAUGAACGAAAAAAAUUUUUUGAUGAGCUAAAUACGAUUUUACAGAUUUUUUUUUGAUGUGGACCACUUUUUAAAAGUCUUUAUUGAAUUUGUUACAAUGUUGCUUCUGCUUUAUUUAUUUAUUUACUUAUUUAUUUUUUGGCACUGAGCCAUGCGGAAUCUUAGCUCCCUGACCAGGUAUUGAACCUGCACCCCCUGGUGAAGGCGAAGUCUUAACCACUGGACCACCAGGGAGGUCCCCAGGUUUGUUGAAAGUCAUCCAUUUACAUGUCCAAGAUGCUCCACAAAUGAAAAAUUGGAUAAGGUUUUAAAACGAUGCCCAUGAGGGCACACAGCAGAAGCAAGAACUACAGUCCUGCAGGCUGCAGAACAAAGACAAUAGUCACAGAAAGACAGAAAAAAUGAAAAGGCAGAGGAUUAUGUCCCAGAUGAAGGAACAAGGUAAAACCCCAGGAAACCAGCUAAGUGAAUUGGAGAUAGGCAACCUUCCAGAAAAAGAAUUCAGAAUAAUGAUAGUGAAGAUAUCCAGGAUCUCGGAAAAGGAAUGACGAAAAUGCAAGAAAUGUGGAAUGCGGAAUCUUAAAAAAAUGAUACAAACGAGCUUAUUUACAAAAUAGAAACAGACUCAGAGAAUAAACUUAUGGUUACCAGGGGUAAGGGUGGUGGGGAAGGAUAGUCAGGGAGUUUGGGAUUGACAAAAAAAGAAAUUGUAUAUCACUAUAUUGUAUACUUGUAACAUAUAAUAUUGUAUAUCAACUGUACAUC